rnacentral:rRNA from 1 species
UGGGGAAUUUUGGACAAUGGGCGAAAGCCUGAUCCAGCAAUGCCGCGUGAGUGAAGAAGGCCUUCGGGUUGUAAAGCUCUUUUGUCAGGGAAGAAACGGUGAGGGCUAAUAUCCCUUGCUAAUGACGGUACCUGAAGAAUAAGCACCGGCUAACUACGUGCCAGCAGCCGCGGUAAUACGUAGGGUGCAAGCGUUAAUCGGAAUUACUGGGCGUAAAGCGUGCGCAGGCGGUUUUGGAAGUCUGAUGUGAAAUCCCCGGGCUCAACCUGGGAAUUGCAUUGGAGACUGCAAGGCUAGAAUCUGGCAGAGGGGGGUAGAAUUCCACGUGUAGCAGUGAAAUGCGUAGAUAUGUGGAGGAACACCGAUGGCGAAGGCAGCCCCCUGGGUCAAGAUUGACGCUCAUGCACGAAAGCGUGGGGAGCAAACA